CCGCCGCCUGCAGCGCCCCGUCGAUGCGCAGCGCCAGCUGCUUGUUGUCGUCCAUCAUGUGCAGGAUUUUGGCCUGGGGGGAGGGAGGAAGAGGAGGAGAGAGAGAGAGCUUUUACCAGGAAGUUGACAGCUCUGCAAGGAGUCUGUGUCCCAAAGGGAUGGGAGUCCCUGGCUGUGCAGAUGAGGCAUGAAGAGAUUGGGAAUAUUUCCUGAGGACACAAGGGAAACCUGAGUCGGUGCCAGAGCAAUUCCCAGCUGAAAGAGCUGUGAGCACCACCAGCUUCUUUCAGUACACCCUCGAAAAUGGACCCUCUGUGAGGGGAAAAAGAUCUCCCAAGAGGGAUUUUUGAUCUGUGCCCCAGGUUUGUUGUGUCCUGGCACGCUGUAGGGCCAGCUUCCAACUGGACACUUCCAAGUAUCACCAGAGGCAUCUCUGUGGCUGUUUAUCACCAAGAAAAUCCAGUCCAAGAGACCAGCAGCUUCAGCAGCUGUCCCCAGGAAAAGCUCAGCCUGGCCCACAUUCCACUCCCACCACAUCUCCACUAAAUAAUUCCCAUCAAAGCUACAGCAGCUGUUAAUAUCCACUUUUUCUUUUCCCCCUCUGCAAAGGUGUAGUUAUAACUGCAUUUUACACCCCUCUCACUCAUGAAAUACAGAGCACCAACUCCUUCCUUCCUCAGCUUCCUCAGCAGCAUCUUUA